UACAGAGGGUGCAAGCGUUGUUCGGAAUUAUUGGGCGUAAAGGGCGCGUAGGCGGUGCUGUAAGUCUGUAGUGAAAUCUCUGGGCUCAACUCAGAGUCUGCUAUAGAAACUGCAGUGCUGGAGUGUGGGAGAGGUGAGUGGAAUUCCCGGUGUAGCGGUGAAAUGCGUAGAGAUCGGAAAGAACACCAACGGCGAAAGCACUCUGCUGGGCCGACACUGACACUGAGAGACGAAAGCUAGGGGGAGCGAAUGGG
rnacentral:rRNA from 1 species